rnacentral:rRNA from 1 species
CCGGUCUCAGUUCGGAUCGCAGUCUGCAACUCGACUGCGUGAAGGCGGAGUCGCUAGUAAUCGCGAAUCAGCAACGUCGCGGUGAAUGCGUUCCCGGGCCUUGUACACACCGCCCGUCAAGUCAUGAAAGUGGGCAGCACCCGAAGCCGGUGGCCUAACCCCUUGUGGGAUGGAGCCGUCUAAGGUGAGGCUCGUGAUUGGGACUAAGUCGUAACAAGGUAGCCGUACCGGAAGGUGCGGCUGGAUCACCUCCUUUCUACGGAGAAUUCAGUCGGAUGUUCGUCCGACGGUGUGCGCCCCGCGCGUCGCAUGGUGCGAUGGCGGCGGGGUUGCUGGUGUGGAAGACGUCGUUGGCUUUGCCCUGCCGGUCGUGCGGUGGGUGCCGGGGUGGUAUGGAUGCGCUUUUGGGCUCCCGGAUCGCCACCCCAGGCUUUUUGCCUGGCGCGAUUCGAUGCCCGUCGUGCCUGGGGGCCGGCCGUGUGCCGGCGCGAUGGCGUGGCGGUGCGUGGUGGCUUGAGAACUGGAUAGUGGACGCGAGCAAAACAAGGGUUUUUGAAUCUUUGUUUUGCUGUUGAUUUCGAAUCGAACUCUAUUGUUCGUUUCGAUCGUUUUGUGAUCAUUUUUAGUGUGAUGAUUUGUCGUCUGGGAAUUUGCUAGAGGAAUCUUGCGGCCAUGCACUUUCGUGGUGUGUGUUGCUUGCAAGGGCGUAUGGUGGAU